CAGCCGCCGCGGUAAUACCAGCACCCCGAGUUGUCGGGACGAUUAUUGGGCCUAAAGCAUCCGUAGCCUGUUCUGCAAGUCCUCCGUUAAAUCCACCUGCUCAACGGAUGGGCUGCGGAGGAUACCGCAGAGCUAGGAGGCGGGAGAGGCAAACGGUACUCAGUGGGUAGGGGUAAAAUCCAUUGAUCUACUGAAGACCACCAGUGGCGAAGGCGGCUUGCCAGAACGCGCUCGACGGUGAGGGAUGAAAGCUGGGGGAGCAAACCGGAUUAGAUACCCGGGUAGUCCCAGCUGUAAACUAUGCAAACUCAGUGAUGCAUUGGCUUGUGGCCAAUGCAGUGCUGCAGGGAAGCCGUUAAGUUUGCCGCCUGGGAAGUACGUACGCAAGUAUGAAACUUAAAGGAAUUGGCGGGUGAGCAC
rnacentral:rRNA from 2 species